rnacentral:tRNA from 1 species
GCGCAAGUGGUUUAGUGGUAAAAUCAACGUUGCCAUCAUUUGCAUUUCCAGUUCGAUUCCGGGCUUGCGCA